rnacentral:rRNA from 1 species
AGAGUUUGAUCAUGGCUCAGAACGAACGCUGGCGGCAGGCCUAACACAUGCAAGUCGAGCGCUACCUUCGGGUGGAGCGGCGGACGGGUUAGUAACGCGUGGGAACAUACCCUUUUCUACGGAAUAGCCUCGGGAAACUGAGAGUAAUACCGUAUAAGCCCUUCGGGGGAAAGAUUUAUCGGGAAAGGAUUGGCCCGCGUUAGAUUAGAUAGUUGGUGGGGUAAUGGCCUACCAAGUCUACGAUCUAUAGCUGGUUUUAGAGGAUGAUCAGCAACACUGGGACUGAGACACGGCCCAGACUCCUACGGGAGGCAGCAGUGGGGAAUCUUAGACAAUGGGCGAAAGCCUGAUCUAGCCAUGCCGCGUGAGUGAUGAAGGUCUUAGGAUCGUAAAGCUCUUUCGCUAGGGAUGAUAAUGACAGUACCUAGUAAAGAAGCCCCGGCUAACUCCGUGCCAGCAGCCGCGGUAAUACGGAGGGGGCUAGCGUUGUUCGGAAUUACUGGGCGUAAAGCGUACGUAGGCGGAUCAGAAAGUAUGGGGUGAAAUCCCAGGGCUCAA